UAAUGGGAGACUCCUCUCUCUCUCUCUCUCUCUCUAAUAAUCUCUCUUUCUCUAAUAAUCUCUCUCUUAUCCCGAGAAGUACUCUUCCGCUUCUGAUUGUUUCUCUUCUUCCUUCUCUCUCCAAUCUUCUGCAAAAAUGACGAAUAGCGUCUUCAAGCAAGAGCAUGACUUCGAGAAGAGGCGUGCUGAGGCUGCAAGAAUUAGGGAUAAAUACCCAGAUAGAAUUCCUGUUAUUGUUGAGAAGGCUGAGAGAAGUGACAUUCCCAACAUUGAUAAGAAAAAGUA